AUUGAACGCUGGCGGCAUGCUUUACACAUGCAAGUCGAACGGCAGCACGGGCUUCGGCCUGGUGGCGAGUGGCGAACGGGUGAGUAAUACAUCGGAACGUACCCAGUAGCGGGGGAUAGCGCGGCGAAAGCCGGAUUAAUACCGCAUAUGCCCUGAGGGGGAAAGCGGGGGAUCGCAAGGCCUCGCGCGAUUGGAUGGGCCGAUAUCAGAUUAGGUAGUUGGUGGGGUAAAGGCUCACCAAGCCAACGAUCUGUAGCUGGUAUGAGAGGACGACCAGCCACACUGGAACUGAGACACGGUCCAGACUCCUACGGGAGGCAGCAGUGGGGAAUUUUGGACAAUGGACGCAAGUCUGAUCCAGCCAUUCCGCGUGCAGGAUGAAGGCCCUCGGGUUGUAAACUGCUUUUGUACGGAACGAAAAGGUCUCUCUUAAUACGGGGGACUCAUGACGGUACCGUAAGAAUAAGCACCGGCUAACUACGUGCCAGCCGCCGCGGUAA
rnacentral:rRNA from 1 species